rnacentral:pre_miRNA from 1 species
UGAUUGUAUGUGUGCAUGUGCAUCUGAGUGUGCAUGCAUACGUAUAUAUUAUGGAUUAAAUAU